rnacentral:lncRNA from 1 species
GGAAGGUCAGAGGGGCUGAGGGAUGGCAGCUGACACAUGCCCCCAGCUCUGUGCCGCCCCUGUGCACUGUGUGUGUGACACCCACCCCCGUCCCUGCAUGUGCCAGCGUCUGCCCACAGUGGCCACCCCCAGCUGUGUGCCAGUCUGCUGAAGGGCGGGCAGAGUGCCUGCUGUAGCGCUGAGCUAUUUUCAGAAGCUGCCAGAUUUCAUUUGGCAGCAAGAAUAUCAGAGAGGGGAGGGGACAGGAUGCUGGAAGACUGUCUUUUCACUACUGCAGUAAGAGAGAACCCUCACCCCUCAGGAGCCCUUGCGGGCAGCCUCAAGGGGGCCCUUACUGUGGCAUUUCUCCCCCAGCUUCAAUCUUGAAACCUCCAAGUUUUCCAAGAGCUCAUCUGGCUCAGGCAGCACUCCCUCCUCCGCCCUCACUUCCCUCAGGGCUUGGAGGAGGGCACAGAGAUGUUAGAAGGCAGGGCAUAGGCAAGCGCUCCAGAGAUGUUUUGCUAUUUCCCAGCCUGGUGACCUUGGACAAGUCCCUCAGCUUUUCUGGCCUCCAUUUCCUCAACUAUGUACUGGAAAGGAGAUUGCCCACCUCGGGAUGUCAUCUGGGGGAUUUGGGCAGAUGAUAUGUGUGAAGUACUUAGUGGGUACCUGAUAAGUGGCUUAUACCCAAACCCCAUUAGCUACCCCAGUAACCUUACCAUCAGGAAGGAGAGAAGUAAGUACCUAGUAUCUGAGAGAAAAGGCAGUCCUGCCUCAAAUCUACCCCUAGGACUUUCCAUCCAGAAAAUUAGGCCUCUACUCAUGGACCUUUAUCUCUGAGCUUCAAAGGAGGGUGGCCAGAUGAAUUAUUUGAGGUUCCCCUUGGAAGUGGUUCAGGCCAACCUUCCUAGCAUACCCUUUAAGUCUGGCAAAAUGCUGGCCAGAUGCAAAGUUAUAUAUAUAGUCCAUCUAGUGACAGAGCUGUAGAAGUGCAGAUGGACUCUCUCAUCUGGCUCCUGAGCACCCACUGUGCCUGGGACUUGUGCUGGGUACAAAGAAAGCAGCUAUGGAACCUGCAGACAAGGUUCUUACCUCAAGGAGUUUAUAUUCAUGAUGGAGACAGAUAAAACAUACAAAUAUGUAUCAAAUUAUGGCCGUGAUAUAGUCUAUGAAGGAAGGACAUGGCUCACAGAGAAAGGGUGUCAUGGGACAAUCUAAGUCAAAAGAGAAUUGAAGCACCUCAGAGACCAGGGCAUGUGCUGAUAGGCUACAGAAUUGGAUGUAGAAUAUCUGAGACCAGGGUCUCAGGGACAGAGAGACUAUGCUCUAGGGUUCUAUUGGCCCCUCAACUCUGCCAGUCUGUGCUUCUUCCAGGGGCUGGCCUUGAGCCUCCAAUGCACUAGUCUUCUCCACAGGCAAGAACACAUCUGUAGAAGUCUCAUAGGGUCUCUCAUCUGCUCAGGUGUCCACAUGCCAGUCCUGGGGAAGGAUUCUUAUUGAUUAGACUUAGCUUGUUGCUAUUGCGGGGAAGGGACCAUGUCCCUUCCUCUGUUGUAGAGGUAGUCAGCAGGGGAGAAGAUAGAAGGAUUGCCCCCUUAUAUUCCAUGUCUUCUGGAUCACUUCCAAGAGCCCAUGAGGAUUGUGACCCAGGGACAAACCCAGCCCAAAGCCUACCCCCCUCAUCUCUGGCAUUAGAUGCAGUUCUCACAAGCCUAGACUUGGAGGUUGGAUGCCCUGCCAAGUCACACUCAUUAUAACAUCUCUGAAAUGGGAACAAAUCUUCUGAUAAUCAGCCAGUAUCAGGUGAGCUAAACCCAGGUAGCCACACAUUCACAUCAGCUAAUCCAGACAUACAGGCAUUUGCACACGCUCCAUAGUGGCUUUGCAGGGAGGUUUCACUUAAGGAUUACACACAAAC